UGGGGAAUCUUGCACAAUGGGCGAAAGCCUGAUGCAGCGACGCCGCGUGGGGGAUGAAGCUUCUCGGAGUGUAAACCCCUUUCGACCGGGACGAAUACCUCGCAAGAGGGGUGACGGUACCGGUAUAAGAAGCCCCGGCUAACUACGUGCCAGCAGCCGCGGUAAGACGUAGGGGGCCAGCGUUGCUCGGAAUUACUGGGUGUAAAGGGUUCGUAGGCGGUGUGGCAAGUCGGGAGUGAAAUCUCUGGGCUCAACUCAGGGGCUGCUUCCGAAACUGCCGUGCUAGAGUGUGGGAGGGGCGCGUGGAAUUGCAGGUGUAGCGGUGAAAUGCGUAGAUAUCUGCAGGAACACCCGUGGCGAAAGCGGCGCGCUGGACCACUACUGACGCUGAGGAACGAAAGCUAGGGGAGCAAACAGGAUUAGAUACCCUGGUAGUCCUAGCCCUAAACGAUCAGGACUUGGGGUGCCACCCGUUCGGGUGUCGUCCCGGAGCUAACGCGUUAAGUCCUGCACCUGGGGAGUACGGUCGCAAGACUGA
rnacentral:rRNA from 1 species